GACGAACGCUGGCGGCGUGCUUAACACAUGCAAGUCGAACGGAAACGCCCUGCUUUUUUGCUCUGCUCGAUUGGCGAACGGGUGAGUAACACGUGAGUAACCUGCCCUUGACUUUGGUAUAACUUCAGGAAACUGGGGCUAAUACCGUAUAGCAUCUCCUCUUGCAGUGUGGGCGGUGGAAAUUUUCGGCGUGUGGGGAUGGACGCGCGGCUUAUCAGCUUGCUGGUUGGGUAGGGGCUUACCAAGGAUUUGACGGGUAGCCGGCCUGAGAGGGUGACAGGCCACAGUGGCAUUGGGAUAGGGCCCAGACUCAAAAGGGGGGAAGGAGUGGGGAAUAUUGCAAAAUGGGCCGAAGCCGGAAGGAGCGACGCCGCGUGGGGGAUGACGGCUUUCGGGUUGUAAAACGAUUUCGCCUGUGACGAAGCGUGAGGGACGGUAAUGGGGAAAGAAGCACCGGUUAACUACGU
rnacentral:rRNA from 1 species